UUGGGCAAAUUUUGUAAAUUUUUAAAAAAAGAAGGUCCAGAGUGCAAUUUCGCCUAGGGUUUCUUUUCUUCUUCUUCUUCCUCCUCCCAUGGCCGACCUUAGCUCGCCCAAAACCAGAUUUUUGCUCCGGUUUACCUCCUUACUCGUCGUCGACCAUCGACCACCGCCCCGUGGCCACCGCUUCAUCACCGUGAAAGCUGAAACAGAUUGUUUUGGUUGGACUCGAUAGUUGCCAGAAACACGAAGAAUUUGAUUUUCUAUUUUUACGAGUUUAGAAUUUUAGACUUAUGUUAUUUUAGACUUCCGCUGUAGACAUGUGAUUUUGAUGGUUGAUUUUAGAGUAAAUCGUAUUUUUUU